CCCUGUUGCAAAUCCCCCUAUGUUUAGCUUGGAUUACCUCACUGAAUUUCUAAUUUGCAGGUUGCGUGCGCGUGCCCGGGGAUGAGGAAGAGGAUGGCGUCGACGGACCUGGAGUACGAGUUCAACUGGGACGGCAAUGAGUCGCAGUAUGACGCCCAGUCACUCCACGGCCACAUGGCCUACGGCCGUGGAGGCGACCUUAACAGCGUCCAGCAGCCUUUCCAGCUGAGGCCUGGUAUUUUACUCUAUUGCAUGAUCACCAUAUUUGCUGCCAGUCCUAACGGAUCUACACAAGUAUGGCUCCACAUCUUUACUGAGUUGGAGAUUCGUACUCCUGCGAGUUCCAAAUCGGAGAUACAAAUCUCUGUUAGAUUGACUUCAUCAUACCUGGCAGCCAAUGUCUCAACUAAAUUGAGCCUAAAAAAUAAUCACUAACCAAGGAACCAAUGAUGAAACACUACUUUCCAAGCAAAGCAAGAGUCUUUAUCCACUUAAUCCUCGCUUCUGCCAAUUAGCGGUACAACCUUCUAUGUACCUUCUGGUUUAAUAUGGUUGCCGGCCUAAUUUCAUCUUAGUUGUUUUGUUUGCCGUUCUGCCUAUGUUUUCUUUAUAGCUUAUACUCUUCCUUUUUAUUUACCCUUUUAACAUUAACAUCCAAGGAUUCAUUUUCUUGCUUGUAGAUCUAACUUCAUUUGAUUGCUUUGCAUUUAUGUAUACCGCCCAGUAUUCCACCUCUAUUAUGCUUCCACAUACACUCUGUGUGUCUAAAGAUACAAUGAAAACCUGAAGAUUCAUGUAUUGAUUGAUUCGCCUUUCAUGGCCAAGUUUAACUUUAGGUAUAAAUUUUCAUGAUACAAGUUCUGCCAGGUGAAAGAAAAUUUGAUUUGCUUACAACUCUACUGUGGUAUUGGAAUCUGCAGCUUCUUUAUCGUUGGCUGGUUUUUAUUCUGCAGAUUGAUAGCAUCAUGUCUACAAAGCUACAUCAUGAGAAUGACACUAGCAUGCGAUUGAAAUUUGAAUUCCUUAUUCAUUUGAUCGGGUGUCAUCGAACCAAUUGUUUAAUUAUGCUUUGUUUUACCUUGUGUUUGCCCUACAGUGCAAUAUUUAUGAUAUUAAUUUUGAAAUCCCAUGCUGAAGCUUUUCUUUCAAAAGGACAGUAACUUUUAGUUUGGUAAUUGAUGUUGCUUGAUUCACUGCUGUUUAGGGUUCAAUAUCCUGUACUUAUAUUUUUGUUUGAUGGCAAUUCUUUGUCUAGGGGCUACUGAUAAACCUCAAGAGUUGGAUGGUGUUGUUCUGCCUCAAGAGUUGGUUGAUGAUGUUAUUCGAAGACUGGUAAGAUUUAUCCCGACAUAUAUGGAGUGUUACUGUUUUUUUGUUGGGCUAAUAGUUUAUGCUGCAUGCAUGAAAGAUGCACCUGUUUCCUAGACAUUUUUGCCUCAGUCUAUUGUGGUAACCUGAUAGUACUUGCUGAAACUGACAAUGACAGAGAACCGCUUCACAAAUUAUACUAGCAGUUUUUUUGUGUUUGCCAGUACUUUCUUUUAGUAAAUUAGAUGGCUACUAUAGAAUCGUCUAUUCAUGUUCAAAAUAAGAUAUGUAUAUAUGCAUCCAAAACAUCUACUUUCAGGAUUGGGUACUUUGCCUAUUUUACUGGUGAUGCGACAUGUAAUUCAGCCAAAUUGUUGUGUCACUAUUCUGUUCUAAUGUUGUUUUAGUCAGUGAAUGAGCCACGGGGUGGUAGAUGGGCCUUGGGAACAUUGUUGGAGCUUCUUAACUCAACUGCUGCCAGGAAUUUUUUUCUGAUAAAAAGUAUAUCUGCUACCAUUCAAAUAAAAAAAUUGUGCAACUGCCAAGAAACACCAAAAAAAAUACAAAUUCUAUGUACUUUACUGUCCCUUAAACAAUUAUAUAUCUAACUACUCUGUAGCUAUAAAAUAAUUAUCAAUGAGAUAUGUACAUAGCUUUAUGUGCUUCUACCUUACUUUCCCUGGAUCAGACAUCAAAAUAAUACUUUGUUAAGUAGUCUAUUAUUACAUAAUCUAUUAGAUAUAGAUAAUAAGGAUAAUCAGUAGUUUAGCUUAAAAUAUCCGGGUGCGCCAAGGCGCGCACAAAGCACUUCUCUCUUAUAGCAAUACUACCACGUAUGUUAUUAUAUUUAUAAUUUCAACCAUGGCUCUUCCCUAGUAGAACGGGAACAACAAGAAGACUCCGACAUGGUCAGACAAUGCGAUAGAGCUAUAUUUGAAGCUCAAGUAGAAGAUGAAAGAAGAAACAAUAAUCCACCCACUUUUCAUGGCUUUGCAUACUCUGGAGAAACUUCAGAUGAGGAAGACCUCAAUGACACCUACUAUUAUGCAGUUUAGCAUACAUUUCUUUUACUAGCCUGAAAUAACAAAACUACUUUAUAACAUAUACUUUAUAACAAAACUAUACAUAUUGAUUUGUGAAUUAUAUGCUUUUCCAAAAUUACAGACUCCGUGAACCAAAAAAUUGGUAAUCUAACAUACCAGGUGCAUAUUCAUUCUACAACCUUAUAGUCCCUUUUUUUUGUUUUGCUUUUUCUUUUAAAAAAGGAAACUAAUACUGACUUCUUAAUUCGCAGCCCCUCCAAAAGCACAAGACAUCGAGACCUUCCCAUCUGAAGCAAGUGGAAAAAAGCAAAAUCAUUCCCAAGACCCCAACUUAUCUCCUAUUUCUAUGUCUUUACUUAUGUAUGUUUAUAAAAUUAUGGGCUUAUAUAUAAUAUAACUAGAUAUCUACAUCUGAACUCGCUAGCCUAUGAAAAUAUUGUGCAUAUUAUUAAAUUAUACUACCCUAUCAUUA